UNUGACUUGAGUGCAGAAGGGGAGAGUGGAAUUCCAUGUGUAGCGGUGAAAUGCGUAGAUAUAUGGAGGAACACCAGUGGCGAAAGCGGCUCUCUGNUCUGUCACUGACGCUGAGGCUNGAAAGCGUGGGUAGCGAACAGGAUUAGAUACCCUGGUAGUCCACGCCGUAAACGAUGAGUGCUAGGUGUUAGGCCCUUUCCGGGGCUUAGUGCCGGAGCUAACGCAAUAAGCACUCCGCCUGGGGAGUACGACCGCAAGGUUGAAACUCAAAGGAAUUGACGGGGGCCCGCACAAGCGGUGGAGCAUGUGGUUUAAUUCGAAGCAACGCGAAGAACCUUACCAGGUCUUGACAUCCCGAUGCUAUUCUUAGAGAUAGGAAGUUACUUCGGUACAUCGGAGACAGGUGGUGCAUGGUUGUCGUCAGCUCGUGUCGUGAGAUGUUGGGUUAAGUCCCGCAACGAGCGCAACCCUUAUUGUUAGUUGCCAUCAUUAAGUUGGGCACUCUAGCGAGACUGCCGGUAAUAAACCGGAGGAAGGUGGGGAUGUCGUCAAAUCAUCAUGCCCCUUAUGACCUGGGCUACACACGUGCUACAAUGGUCGGUACAACGAGUUGCGAGCCGGUGACGGCAAGCUAAUCUCUGAAAGCCGAUCUCAGUUCGGAUUGGAGGCUGCAACUCGCCUCCAUGAAGUCGGAAUCGCUAGUAAUCGCGGAUCAGCACGCCGCGGUGAAUACGUUCCCGGGCCUUGUACACACCGCCCGUCACACCACGAGAGUUUGUAACACCCGAAGUCGGUGAGGUAACCUUUUAGGGGCC
rnacentral:rRNA from 1 species